UACGGGGGGAGCAAGCGUUGUUCGGAUUUACUGGGCGUAAAGGGCGCGUAGGCGGCCAGCACAAGUCAGUUGUGAAAUCUCCGAGCUUAACUCGGAAAGGUCAACUGAUACUGCGGGGCUAGAGUGCAGAAGGGGCAACUGGAAUUCUCGGUGUAGCGGUGAAAUGCGUAGAUAUCGAGAGGAACACCUGCGGCGAAGGCGGGUUGCUGGGCUGACACUGACGCUGAGGCGCGAAAGCUAGGGGAGCGAACGGG
rnacentral:rRNA from 1 species